UUAAUACUCCCUCCGUCCCAAAAUUCUUGUCUCAGAUUUGUCUAGAUACGGAUGUAUCUAAUACUAAAACGUGACUUGAUACAUCCGUAUUUAGACAAAUCUAAGACAAGAAUUUUAGGACGGAGGGAGUAUAUU
rnacentral:pre_miRNA from 1 species